rnacentral:pre_miRNA from 1 species
AGCUUUUCGAAUCCAUGCUGAGAUUUCUUCAGAAACCAACACAUUAGGGCUGAUAUGACUUCAAAGAUAUGUGAAGUU